rnacentral:rRNA from 1 species
UUGGAGGGCAAGUCUGGUGCCAGCAGCCGCGGUAAUUCCAGCUCCAAUAGCGUAUAUUAAAGUUGCUGCGGUUAAAAAGCUCGUAGUUGAAUUUCGGGACCAUCAUGUCGGUCGUGCCUCGGUACGUACUGGUAUUGUUGGUUUCUCCCUUCUGACGAACCAUGAUGUCAUUUAUUUGGUGUUGUGGGGAAUCAGGACUGUUACUUUGAAAAAAUUAGAGUGUUUAAAGCAGGCUCACGCUUGAAUACAUUAGCAUGGAAUAAUGAAAUAGGACGUUUGAUUCUAUUUUGUUGGUUUCUAGGAUCGACGUAAUGAUUAAUAGGGAUAGUUGGGGGCAUUAGUAUUCAAUUGUCAGAGGUGAAAUUCUUGGAUUUAUUGAAGACUAACUACUGCGAAAGCAUUUGCCAAGGAUGUUUUCAUUAAUCAAGAACGAAAGUUAGGGGAUCGAAGACGAUCAGAUACCGUCGUAGUCUUAACCAUAAACUAUGCCGACUAGGGAUCGGAUGAUGUUAAUUUUUUAAUGACUCAUUCGGCGCCUUACGGGAAAC